GAUGAACGCUGGCGGCGUGCCUAAUACAUGCAAGUCGAGCGAAGCGGGGACGGGUGAGUAACACGUGGAUAACCUCCUUUAAGACUCGGACAACUUCGGGAAACCGGAGCUAAACUGGAUGCUCAUAGAUGGAUCCGCGCUGCAUUGGCUAGUUGGUAAGGGAACGGCUUACAAAGGCAACGAUGCAUAGCCGACCUGAGAGGGUGAGCGGCCACACUGGAACUGAGACACGGUCCAGACUCCUACGGGAGGCAGCAGUAGGGAAUCUUCCGCAAUGGGCGAAAGCCUGACGGAGCAACGCCGCGUGAGUGAUGAAGGUUUUCGGAUCGUAAAACUCUGUUGUUAGGGAAGCGGUACCUAAUCAGAAAGCCACGGCUAACUACGUGCCAGCCGCCGCGGUAAUAC
rnacentral:rRNA from 1 species